CGUUGGAAAGGUCACGCGUGACGUAGGCGUAAGCACCGACCCAGCGUUUACAAAGCGAAUGUGCAAAGAAAGAAAAAUUAUGUGGG